rnacentral:rRNA from 2 species
AGAGUUUGAUCAUGGCUCAGAUUGAACGCUGGCGGCAGGCCUAACACAUGCAAGUCGAGCGGUAGCACAGAGAGCUUGCUCUCGGGUGACGAGCGGCGGACGGGUGAGUAAUGUCUGGGAAACUGCCUGAUGGAGGGGGAUAACUACUGGAAACGGUAGCUAAUACCGCAUAACGUCGCAAGACCAAAGUGGGGGACCUUCGGGCCUCAUGCCAUCAGAUGUGCCCAGAUGGGAUUAGCUAGUAGGUGGGGUAAUGGCUCACCUAGGCGACGAUCCCUAGCUGGUCUGAGAGGAUGACCAGCCACACUGGAACUGAGACACGGUCCAGACUCCUACGGGAGGCAGCAGUGGGGAAUAUUGCACAAUGGGCGCAAGCCUGAUGCAGCCAUGCCGCGUGUAUGAAGAAGGCCUUCGGGUUGUAAAGUACUUUCAGCGAGGAGGAAGGCAUUAAGGUUAAUAACCUUAGUGAUUGACGUUACUCGCAGAAGAAGCACCGGCUAACUCCGUGCCAGCAGCCGCGGUAAUACGGAGGGUGCAAGCGUUAAUCGGAAUUACUGGGCGUAAAGCGCACGCAGGCGGUCUGUUAAGUCAGAUGUGAAAUCCCCGGGCUCAACCUGGGAACUGCAUUUGAAACUGGCAGGCUUGAGUCUUGUAGAGGGGGUAGAAUUCCAGGUGUAGCGGUGAAAUGCGUAGAGAUCUGGAGGAAUACCGGUGGCGAAGGCGGCCCCCUGGACAAAGACUGACGCUCAGGUGCGAAAGCGUGGGGAGCAAACAGGAUUAGAUACCCUGGUAGUCCACGCUGUAAACGAUGUCGACUUGGAGGUUGUUCCCUUGAGGAGUGGCUUCCGGAGCUAACGCGUUAAGUCGACCGCCUGGGGAGUACGGCCGCAAGGUUAAAACUCAAAUGAAUUGACGGGGGCCCGCACAAGCGGUGGAGCAUGUGGUUUAAUUCGAUGCAACGCGAAGAACCUUACCUACUCUUGACAUCCAGAGAACUUAGCAGAGAUGCUUUGGUGCCUUCGGGAACUCUGAGACAGGUGCUGCAUGGCUGUCGUCAGCUCGUGUUGUGAAAUGUUGGGUUAAGUCCCGCAACGAGCGCAACCCUUAUCCUUUGUUGCCAGCGGUUCGGCCGGGAACUCAAAGGAGACUGCCAGUGAUAAACUGGAGGAAGGUGGGGGAUGACGUCAAGUCAUCAUGGCCCUUACGAGUAGGGCUACACACGUGCUACAAUGGCAUAUACAAAGAGAAGCGACCUCGCGAGAGCAAGCGGACCUCAUAAAGUAUGUCGUAGUCCGGAUUGGAGUCUGCAACUCGACUCCAUGAAGUCGGAAUCGCUAGUAAUCGUAGAUCAGAAUGCUACGGUGAAUACGUUCCCGGGCCUUGUACACACCGCCCGUCACACCAUGGGAGUGGGUUGCAAAAGAAGUAGGUAGCUUAACCUUCGGGAGGGCGCUUACCACUUUGUGAUUCAUGACUGGGGUGAAGUCGUAACAAGGUAACCGUAGGGGAACCUGCGGUUGGAUCACCU